GUUCGGAGUCUUUGAUGAUUUGUGAUGAUGUAGUGUUUGUUGCAACUAUGAAGAACAACAUAGUAAUAAUGUGAUGAAACUGAAAACUGAGAUCAAAUUUGUGAUAGAUAAAGGGUGUAUUGAAUCAUGUUUGCAGUAUGAUUCUUCAUUUGUAAUUGACAUAAUAGUUGGAUUAUUAAGGGUGUAUUGAAUGUAGUUCAACAACUUAAUAAUUUUGUUUCCAUGUUGAUGACUCUAUUUGCUCUGUUAUUGUAAUUCUUGGCUCUGUGAAUGCAAUGAUG
rnacentral:lncRNA from 1 species